CGACUUUGGAAUAUAGAUUCGUUUGAACAUCUUAAUCGGACGUUGAACAGUUGGUUAGAUGGAGAAACUGGAGAUGGUGAAAGGAUUAGAAGAAUCCAAUGACUUGUGUCCAUGUUCAAUCAAAAUGGAGAAGUGCGUGAAUGAGUGGAUAUUAAGACUGACAGAGGCGUUCAUAGGAUGAUGCAUUAUAUGUUCAAAAUUGUUUUGAUGUUGUAAUCGCUUAGUAAUUGUAUUUUAAUUGUUUUAGUUGUUUGUGUU
rnacentral:lncRNA from 1 species